AUGGUUAAUGGGUUAAUGGUUUACUUGUUUGCUCUUUCAGGAAAUCUUGGAUUGCAGACCACAACUCGUUAGUCAUUUCUUGUGGCUCAAUAUCACCUUCAGCAGGAUCCAAACCACAAAUAUUUCACAUUGCUUUUCUACCCCUGCUCCUGGAGAGGAGCAAUGGGAAGCUGUCCUUUGGAGUGACGCAGAAGCACUUGCAGAGCAGCACAAAGGUAAGGAAGGUACACACGUAACCUCCCUGCCUGGCACAUCUGAGGCAUCCCAACCCCUUCCUCAGACACCCAGCAGGCAGGCACUCAUGCUGUGUGCCAGCCUGUGAACUCCCCAGGAUUGCUCUGUAAGGCACCAACCUCACACUGCCCCCUGUGACUCCUCCAUCCCCUGCCAUGGGACACUGCCAACCCUGGCUGUACUUGGCCCUAUCUCUUCCUGAGCUCAGCUGGACUCAGUUCACUGGCCUGAAACAGUGAAAUAAAGGGAAUUUUCCCCUUAAGAGGUCUAAUCCUUCAGAUUUCACAAAGGCAAUAUUCCUGCUGAUUUCAACAGAAGUUGUAUUUGAGGAUCAAUGGCAGGAUACUACCCAUUUGAAAUAUAAGUGGACAGCGGCAUCAGAUCAUAUGGUUGGUGAGAAGAGACUGAAAGAAAAAUGAUGACAGCACAAAAGUAUUCAUUCCUACCCACAUCUUCAAUGUUUUCAUUUCAGAGCAUUUGUUAAGCAAUAAAGAGGGUCUCUCUCUGCUUCAUGUAAUUUAGUGAUAGUUCUUCGGAAAGGAGAAAGGAUCCUUUCACAGCUGUAUCAACAUCUCUCUUAAAAAAAA